UACAGAGGUCUCAAGCGUUGUUCGGAUUCAUUGGGCGUAAAGGGUGCGUAGGUGGCGCGCUAAGUCAGGUGUGAAAUUUCGGAGCUUAACUCCGAAACUGCAUUUGAUACUGGCGUGCUUGAGGACUGGAGAGGAGACUGGAAUUCAUGGUGUAGCAGUGAAAUGCGUAGAGAUCAUGAGGAAGACCAGUGGCGAAGGCGGGUCUCUGGACAGUUCCUGACACUGAGGCACGGAAAGCCAGGGGAGCAAACGGG
rnacentral:rRNA from 1 species